rnacentral:misc_RNA from 1 species
CAGAGUUAUCCAACUCCCCAAACCCAUGUGAACUUAUCUCUUUGUUGCCUCGGCGCAAGCUACCCGGGACCUCGCGCCCCGGGCGGCCCGCCGGCGGACAAACCAAAACUCUUGUUAUCUUAGUUGAUUAUCUGAGUGUCUUAUUUAAUAAGUCA